UUCGACCUGAGUUCAGGCAGGGCUACCCGCUGAACUUAAGCAUAUCAAUAAGCGGUGGAAAAGAAACCAACCGGGAUUCCCUUAGUAACGGCGAGCGAACAGGGAUGAGCCCAGUUUGUAAAUCUCCAGCCUCUGGGCUGGCGAAUUGUAGUCUGGAGGAGUGUUCCCUGGGGGGCAGCUGACCGAAGUAUACUGGAAGGUAUCGCUCGAGAGGGUGAGAGCCCCGUAGGUCAGCCUUGCCCCUCUUCACGGGACGCUUUCGAAGAGUCGGGUUGUUUGGGAAUGCAGCCCUAAUUGGGUGGUAAACCCCAUCUAAGGCUAAAUAUCAAUGGGAGACCGAUAGCGAAAAAGUACCUCGAGGGAACGAUGAAAAGACCGCUGGCAAGCGAGUAAAAGAGUGCAUGAAAUUGUGUAGUGGGAAGGGAUGGCCCGGUAGCGUGCGCCUGGGCUGAUGUGGCUCGUUUGAGCUGCUGUUUGCACCAGGUGCUGGCUGGCACCGGCACUUCCGGCCGUACAACCCCCAGCUAAGGUGUUGGGCACUGCGGUCGGAGGUGCCGAGGUUGAUCAGAGCUUUGCCCUUCGGGAGCUGCCCUGACAGGGUGCCAGCUGAAGCCGGUC
rnacentral:rRNA from 1 species